GGAGGGGAACAUCCAGCCUAUAGCGCCCCCCGUAGCGGUGUUCGCCGGCGCUAUAGGUCGUUAUAGGUGGAGGUGGCGCUAUACCAAGUCCCACUACGGAGGGACUAAAUGCUUCUGAAUUUUGCUAGACCACCUAGAAAAAAAUCGAAUUUUAUAUUGCCAAUGUGUUACUAAUUACACAUGUUUAUUCAUACAGUGACAUCAAUAGAUAUCUCGAGGGUAUUUAUGAAUUGAAUGUGUGGUUAAAGAUGGUAAAACUUGACUUAUAGAAUUAUCUUUGUAUUUCAUCCAGGUGAAUGGAUGAAUAGUUCAGCAGGAUUGGCUUUUACACCUCAUAAUACCAUCCAUGUAUCUGUUGGAGAGGAUGUUGCUGAAAAGAUAUUAAUCUUCAAUUUGCAUCUUAUCGGGGAGUGGAACGGUUUCUGCGGUGACGUUAAGUCAGUUUACAUCUUCGGGGGGCACUGUGACCUACGAGGGCCGUUUUGAGAUGCUAUGUUUAUCCGGCUGUUAUCUGCUUUCGGAAAACAGCGGGGCUCAGGGCCGGACCGGUGGUUUAAGUAUCUCGGUUUGUAGUGCUGAUGGCAAUGUCAUUGGCGGUAGGCUUGUUGCAUCCAGCUCAGUACAGGUGAUGCUUUGUAGUUUCGUGUACGGUGGCGGUAGUGAUGUUAAAGCGAAGACCAAAACAGAAACAUCCUCAAGGGACGAGAAACGUUUGGAUAUUCAACUUAACGAGACGAGUCCUGAAGCGGUUCGUGAGCAACAAAAAUUCACGAGUCGGCUUAAGAAACUCGCCUACUGAAAUUGACCUUACGCGUUGAUGAAUUAUUAUUUAAAACAGGUUGGUAUUUCUGUAUAUGUAGGAUGUACAUGAAUGGUGCAGAAAGAACAGCAAAGAGAGAUUAUACCCUCUUUGUAGAUCAUAGACGGGUUGUGCUAACGUAUUUGUAACGAAGAACGUGACCAUUUUAUCGUUGUUAAAGUAGAAUUAGGAGAUUGUUUUGACUCGGUCAUCUGCUAAUUUUAUGGAAAUUUAUGUUCUUUGAUUU